rnacentral:rRNA from 1 species
AACGAACGCUGGCGGCAUGCCUAACACAUGCAAGUCGAACGAGACCUUCGGGUCUAGUGGCGCACGGGUGCGUAACCCGUGGGAAUCUGCCCUUGGGUUCGGAAUAACUCGCCGAAAGGCGUGCUAAUACCGGAUGAUGUCGUAAGACCAAAGAUUUAUCGCCCAGGGAUGAGCCCGCGUAAGAUUAGGUAGUUGGUGAGGUAAAGGCUCACCAAGCCGACAAUCUUUAGCUGGUCUGAGAGGAUGAUCAGCCACACUGGGACUGAGACAUGGCUCAG